UACAGAGGGUGCGAGCGUUAAUCGGAAUUACUGGGCGUAAAGCGCGCGUAGACGGUUUUGUAAGUCAGAUGUGAAAUCCCUGGGCUCAACCUGGGAACUGCAUUUGAGGCUGCAUGGCUAGAGUAUCGAAGAGGGAAGUGGAAUUUCCGGUGUAGCGGUGAAAUGCGUAGAUAUCGGAAGGAACACCAGUGGCGAAAGCGACUUCCUGGUCGAAUACUGACGUUCAUGUGCGAAAGCGUGGGGAGCAAACAGG
rnacentral:rRNA from 1 species